CAACUUUCAACAACGGAUCUCUUGGCUCUCACAUCGAUGAAGAACGCAGCGAAAUGCGAUAAGUAAUGUGAAUUGCAGAAUUCAGUGAAUCAUCGAAUCUUUGAACGCAAAUUGCGCCCUUUGGUAUUCCGAAGGGCAUGCCUGUUUGAGUGUCU
rnacentral:rRNA from 2 species